rnacentral:rRNA from 1 species
CUUUACUGUAACCUGGAAUUGGGUUCGGGCUUUGCUUGCGCAGGAUAGGUGGGAGGCUAAGAGAAUACCCUUGUGGGGAGUGUGGAGCCAACGGUGAGAUACCACUCUGGUGAGGCUAGAAUUCUAACCCAAUGCCGUGACCCGGCUUGGGAACAGUUUCAGGCGGGCAGUUUGACUGGGGCGGUCGCCUCCUAAAAGGUAACGGAGGCGCGCAAAGGUUCUCUCAGGCUGGUUGGAAAUCAGCCGUAGAGUGUAAAGGCAUAAGAGAGCUUGACUGUGAGACCCACAAGUCGAACAGGGACGAAAGUCGGCCUUAGUGAUCCGACGGCACUGAGUGGAAGGGCCGUCGCUAAACGGAUAAAAGUUA